rnacentral:rRNA from 1 species
GAUGAACGCUGGCGGCGUGCCUAAUACAUGCAAGUCGAGCGAACAGACGAGGCGCUUGCUCCUCUGACGUUAGCGGCGGACGGGUGAGUAACACGUGGAUACCCUACCUAUAAGACUGGGAUAACUUCGGGACACCGGAGCUAAUACCGGAUAAUCUCUUGCACCGCAUGGUUCAUUAGUGAAAGUCGGUUUUGUUGUAACUUAUAGCUGGAUCCGCGCCGCAUUGGAUGGUUGGUAAGGUAAAGGAUUUUCAAGGCGACGAUGCGUAGCCGACCGGAGAGGGGGAUCGGCCACACGGGAGCGGGAACAGGGUCCAUACUCCUACGAGAGGCAGCAGUAUGGAAUGUGCCGCAAUGGGGGAAAACCUGACGGAGCGACGCCGCGUGAAUGAUGAAGGUCUUCGGAUCGUAAAACUCGGUUAUGAGGGAAGAACAAAUGUGGAAGUAACUAUGCACGGCUUGACGGUACCUAAUCAAAAAGCCACGGCUAACUACGUG